AACGCGAAGAACCUUACCAGGGUUUGACAUCUCCGGACAGUCUGUGAAAGCAGAUCUUCCUCGCAAGAGGACUGGAAGACAGGUGUUGCAUGGUUGUCGUCAGCUCGUGUCGUGAGAUGUUGGGUUAAGUCCCGCAACGAGCGCAACCCUCCCCAAUGUUGCCAGCGUAAAGUCGGGAACUCUUUGGGAACUGCCCAUGUAAGUGGGAGGAAGGUGGGGAUGACGUCAAAUCGGCAUGGCCCUUACACCCUGGGCUUGACACAUGCUACAAUGGCCGUUAAACAGAGCGACGCGAUACCGCGAGGUGGAGCCAAUCGCAAAAAUACGGUCUCAGUUCAGAUUGCAGGCUGCAACUCGCCUGCAUGAAGUCGGAAUCGCUAGUAACCGCAGGUCAGCUAAACUGCGGUGAAUACGUUCCCGGGCCUUGUACACACCGUAGAGAC
rnacentral:rRNA from 1 species